rnacentral:rRNA from 1 species
CUACGGGAGGCUGCAGUUAGGAAUAAUCUACAAUGCGCGCAAGCGUGAUAGUUUGAGCCAGCGUGUUUUUCAAAUGAAAGACUUUUGUGAAAUGUAAAAAGUUUCACGAAUAAGGACUGGGUAAGACGAGUGCCAGCCGCCGCGGUAAUACUCGCGGUCCAAGUCGCAGCCAUUUUUAUUGGGUCGUAAAACAUCCGUAGCUUGCUUGACAAGUCUUCUGUGAAAUCUUAUGUCUAAAACAUAGGGCGGGCAGAAGGUACUAUCAAGCUAGAGAUCGGAAGACGUAAGAAGUACAUUCAGAGUAGCGGUUAAAUGUGUUAAUCCUGGAUGGACUAACAAGAGCGAAGGCAUCUUACGAGGACGGUUCUGACAGUAAGGGAUGAAAGCUAGGGGCGCGAAUGGGAUUAGAUACCCUUGUAGUC